rnacentral:antisense_RNA from 1 species
AUUCUAGAGGACUGGGCGGGGAGAUGGUGUCUCCCCGGCCGGGUGGCACUGACCGGUCAUGCUCAGGGCCCCCUUCUGGUUGCCGGUGCCCCACCUCUGGCCAGGUGGCAUCGGCUUCCGGGUAAAUCUGAGUUGCCCAAAGCGAGCCUCCGGAGGCCGCUUCAUCUCCUGGAACGUUUACUCAUUCAGGCCUCUGGACGUCGAUACUGGGGAUGAAAAGUUCAGAAAGUGGACAGAUUCCUGGUCUUCAGUCCAGACCUACUGAGUUAAAAUAUUGAGGAGAGAUGGAGCUCAACAGAUGCCCUAGGUGACUCUGAUGUGGCCUAAGUCUGGGGAAACUUAGAAGUACACACUGCAAUACUUCUCCAACCUAACAGAAAUGCAGAUUCUGAUUCGCAAUGUUUCCUGAAAUAUACCUGAGCUUGGAAACAGCAUGGAUCUAUACGAGCUGGUGCCCCACUAGUUGAUGACAUGGCUUGAUGAAAACGGAGGAGCACCUCACCACAAGAAGAGACCCUUGCAGUAGGAAACAAAACUGUGUGAGAAGACGUCUUCCUCCAACUGCAGCACCUGCUUCAGGGCCUUGGCCACCACCAUCUUCCGCUUCUGCAGAAACUCCAGCUCUGCUGGGCACAGGCUGAAGCCCAGUCGCACGUCCAGUGUCUCAGGGCUGGAGGGAGAGAGGACCCUGUAGUGGGCCUGCAGCCUCUACCUCCCUGGAGUAGACACAGCUUUAGGGUCCAUUGGACCUAGGCUCAAAGCCUACUUCUGCCAGGGACCACUUCUGUGACCUUGGGUCUCCACUUUCUCAUCUGUAAAGUGGGGCGAAUCGUGCUGAACUCUCAGCACUGUCUUCAGCACUUAAAGGGAUAACAAAUGCAAAGCCCCCAAAGCCUUAGCUGGUACAAUGCGAGCUGGUACUCAACAAAAGAUAACUGUUGGCAGUGUGUUAGGGACGCUUUGAGUCCUCUGUCUCCUCGGCCAGAUCUGGAAAGUCCAGAAAGUCUUCCCCCAGGUGGCUUCUCUUGCCCAGGGCCAGGCAUGGGUGACAAGAGGCGCUGAGAUCAUUUUGCCAAAUCCCUCUGAACAAGGCCCCACAGUACAGACUCUUCUGUGCUAGGUAAACAAACUCCCUGUUCCUAUGGAGCUCACGUUCUUCAGUGAGCUCUUCCUGCUCCUAGAAUAACAAUUAUCCUGUGUGUGUGUGCAAUUGACAAAAACCAUCACGUCCCUGAUCUCAUUGUGUCACCUCAUAGUCUGCAGGCAGGUGGGGCAGGCACCUCUGUGACAUGCCCAAUGCUUGUCCUCUUUUUUUUUUUUAAUCACAUCCCUGCCCCAAACAAGUCCAGGCUCCUGGCCUGGCAUCCAAGACCCUGCCUGACCUUUCCAAGCUCACCUCAAACUACCCUCGAAGCUUCUGGGUCAGGUCCCAGAGCUCCCAGAAGCAGUCCUGUUUCCGGGUCUUGGCACAGGCCCCUGCCUUCACCAGAAGUGUCUUCCCUUUGCCCACCUCCAGCCUGUGCAUCCUCUGAGGCCCAGCUCCCCAGUGACUCCAGAUGAAUGUACCUUGACCAUUUCCAACUGAGCCUUGGCUCACUAACAAAGCCACAUCUCCUUGAAGGCUGGGCCUAGGAGAUUUCCAUCAUGUCUCCUCUUUGUCUAGCACAGGGCUGCAGACACGGCUGUUAGAAAAUAAUUCUUUCUUUGGCCUCAACAGGGAAUGAAUAAUAAUAAUACAACAACAACAAUAACAAUAACAUUAGUUGACGUUUGCUGAGCAUCCCACUUGCCAGAUGGAUUACUGAGUACUUCACACGUGCUGUGUAGCUGGAUCCUCAGAGCAACCCAGUGAUUCACAGGAUCCUUGUUAUUCUCCCAAUGUGCAGAUGAGGAAAACAAAGACUCAGUAAGGGCAAAGAGCUUUUCCGAGGGCAAAUAGCUAAUCAAACUGUAAAUAGAAAUCAUGGCCACUUGAUUUCUGACAAUCAAGAUUUCUGAAAAUGAUGUUGUUUUCAGCAGAUGGUGCUGAGACAACUGGAUAUCCACAUGCCAAAGAACGAGGUUGAGCCCCUCUUUUACACCAUGUAGAUUAAUUACCUAAAAAUUGAUCAUAAACCUAAAUGUGAGAGCUAAAACUAAACAAGUCUUAGAAAAAAACAUGGGAAUGUAUUUUCAGGACCUUGGUCGGGCGCGGUGGCACAGGAUUGUAAUCCCAGCACUUUGGGAAGCUGAGGAGGGUGGAUAACUUGAGGUCAGGAGUUCGAGACCAGCCUAGUCAAUAUGGUGAAACCCCAUCUCUACUGAAAAUACAAAAAUUAGCCAGGUAUAGAGGUGUGCACCUGUAAUCCCAGCUACUGGGGAGGCUGAGGCAGGAGAAUUGCUUAACCCAGGAGGCAGAGGUUGCAGUGAGCCGAGAUCGCACCACUGUACUCCAGCCUGGGCGACAGUGAGACUCCAUUUCAAAACAAUAAAAUAAAAUAAAAUAAAAUAAAAUAAAAUAAAAAUGUCAGGACA